AUACGGAGGGUGCGAGCGUUAAUCGGAAUUACUGGGCGUAAAGCGCGCGUAGGCGGAUAAUUAAGUCAGAUGUGAAAUCCCCGGGCUCAACCUGGGAACUGCAUUUGAUACUGAUUAACUAGAGUAUGGUAGAGGUGAGUGGAAUUUCCGGUGUAGCGGUGAAAUGCGUAGAGAUCGGAAGGAACACCAGUGGCGAAGGCGACUCACUGGGCCAUUACUGACGCUGAGGUGCGAAAGCGUGGGUAGCAAACAGGAUUAGAAACCCCAGUAGUCC
rnacentral:rRNA from 1 species